GGAUGUGAGGGUAAUCUGGCUGGUACAUCUGUCAUCCCACCGAUCACCACAGUUGAUUAUGCUGAUCUGGCUGGUCAGGUGGAUGUCCUCGUCCUCUGUCAUCCUCCAUAUGCAUCCCUCCCAAAGCUGCAAUCUGUGUGCUCAGUCAAAGAAAACAACCACUUAAGAUAGAGGAGGACCUUUUCCUGGCUCAAGAGUAUAGGAGUAGCUGCGCUCCCUGCUCAAACCUCCAAACAAGUUCUCAAGUUGUUACCUCAAAGGCUGGUACACCCCAGUGUCUCAGGACUAGGUUUCCCAUGCUAGUUACCUGAGAAACUUUGCUCUGG
rnacentral:snRNA from 1 species